rnacentral:rRNA from 1 species
GCACAAGCAGCGGAGCGUGUGGUUUAAUUCGAGGCUACACGAAGAACCUUACCAGGGUUUGACAUGCAAGUGGUAGGAAUCCGAAAGGUGACCGACCCUUCGGGGAGCUUGCACAGGUGCUGCAUGGCUGUCGUCAGCUCGUGUCGUGAGAUGUUCGGUUAAGUCCGCUAACGAGCGCAACCCUCGUCGUGUGUUAUACGUGUCACACGAUACUGCCGGUAUCAAGCCGGAGGAAGGUGGGGAUGAUGUCAAGUCAGCACGGCCUUUAUAUCCUGGGCUACACACACGCUACAAUGGCAGAUACAAUAGGUUGCGAAACCGCGAGGUGGAGCCAAUCCUCAAAGUCUGUCUCAGUUCAGAUUGUAGGCUGCAACUCGCCUGCAUGAAGUUGGAGUUGCUAGUAAACGCAGGUCAGCUAUACUGCGUUGAAUACGUUCCCGGGGUUU